AGUGAACGCUGGCGGUAGGCCUAACACAUGCAAGUCGAACGGCAGCACAGUAAUAGCUUGCUCUUACGGGUGGCGAGUGGCGGACGGGUGAGGAAUACAUCGGAAUCUACUUUUUCGUGGGGGAUAACGUAGGGAAACUUACGCUAAUACCGCAUACGACCUACGGGUGAAAGCAGGGGAUCUUCGGACCUUGCGCGAUUGAAUGAGCCGAUGUCGGAUUAGCUAGUUGGCGGGGUAAAGGCCCACCAAGGCGACGAUCCGUAGCUGGUCUGAGAGGAUGAUCAGCCACACUGGAACUGAGACACGGUCCAGACUCCUACGGGAGGCAGCAGUGGGGAAUAUUGGACAAUGGGCGCAAGCCUGAUCCAGCCAUGCCGCGUGGGUGAAGAAGGCCUUCGGGUUGUAAAGCCCUUUUGUUGGGAAAGAAAAGCAGCAGGUUAAUACCCCGCUGUUCUGACGGUACCCAAAGAAUAAGCACCGGCUAACUUCGUG
rnacentral:rRNA from 1 species